rnacentral:rRNA from 1 species
GAACGCUGGCGGCAGGCCUAACACAUGCAAGUCGAGCGGGUAACAUUUCUAGCUUGCUAGAAGAUGACGAGCGGCGGACGGGUGAGUAACGCGUAGAAAUCUACCUAGUAGUGGGGGAUAGCCCAGAGAAAUUUGGAUUAAUACCGCAUACGCCCUACGGGGGAAAGCGGGGGAUCUUCGGACCUCGCGCUAUUGGAUGAGCCUAAGUCGGAUUAGCUUGUUGGUGAGGUAAAGGCUCACCAAGGCGACGAUCCGUAGCUGGUCUGAGAGGACGAUCAGCCACACUGGGACUGAGACACGGCCCAGACUCCUACGGGAGGCAGCAGUGGGGAAUAUUGCACAAUGGGCGCAAGCCUGAUGCAGCCAUGCCGCGUGUGUGAAGAAGGCCUUAGGGUUGUAAAGCACUUUCAGCAGUGAGGAAAGGGGUGUCGUUAAUAGCGCCAUCCUGUGACGUUAACUGCAGAAGAAGGACCGGCUAACUCCGUG